rnacentral:rRNA from 1 species
UACGGGGGGGGCAAGCGUUGUUCGGAAUUACUGGGCGUAAAGGGCGCGUAGGCGGCCUUCUAAGUCGAACGUGAAAUCCCCGGGCUCAACCCGGGAACUGCGUCCGAUACUGGAAGGCUUGAAUCCGGGAGAGGGAUGCGGAAUUCCAGGUGUAGCGGUGAAAUGCGUAGAUAUCGAGAGGAACACCAGUGGCGAAGGCGAGUCCCUGGACAACUCCUGACACUAAGGCACGAAAGCUAGGGGAGCAAACAGG